UAGGGAAUCUUCCGCAAUGGGCGAAAGCCUGAUGGAGCAACGCCGCGUGUGUGAUGAAGGCUUUAGGGUCGUAAAGCACUGUUGUAUGGGAAGAAAUGCUAGAAUAGGGAAUGAUUCUAGUUCGACGGUACCAUACCAGAAAGGGACGGCUAAAUACGUGCCAGCAGCCGCGGUAAUACGUAUGUCCCGAGCGUUAUCCGGAUUUAUUGGGCGUAAAGCGAGCGCAGACGGUUGAUUAAGUCUGAUGUGAAAGCCCGGAGCUCAACUCCGGAAUGGCAUUGGAAACUGGUUAACUUGAGUGUUGUAGAGGUAAGUGGAACUCCAUGUGUAGCGGUGGAAUGCGUAGAUAUAUGGAAGAACACCAGUGGCGAAGGCGGCUUACUGGACAACAACUGACGUUGAGGCUCGAAAGUGUGGGUAGCAAACAGGAUUAGAUACCCUGGUAGUCCACACCGUANCGAUGAAUACUAGGUGUUAGGAGGUUUCCGCCUCUUAGUGCCGAAGCUAACGCAUUAAGUAUUCCGCCUGGGGAGUACGACCGCAAGGNUG
rnacentral:rRNA from 1 species